UAGGGGUGAUGUUAGAGGAGAGGAGGAGAGCAAAUGGGGAAGCCCUCUCUCUCACUCCGACUAACAAUCUUCCUCUCCCUCUCUCUCACUGCUUCCUACUCCAUCUCAGCCUCUUCAUCUUCCCCAAUCUUUCCACGACGAUCUUCUCCAAAACCUUCUCUCAAAGCCACUCCUUCGGACCUGCUCUCUCUGCUGGGCCCCAAAUCCCACUCUUCGUCCGUUGACCCCAUUGUUGCCCAAGAACUCACUUCCUGCUUCAGAUUCCUCGUGCCCUUUUCGCCAAUUGCCAAGGGAAAUUGCCCGCCAAGUUAUUCGAAUCGGAAAGUCUUGAAGCAUAAGGGUUGUGAUUUGUGUCAGCGGGAGGAGGAUGAGCUCGUUUGGUGGCCGCCUCGGCCGGUUUUGGAGCUGGCUCGCCUGGCUGUUGACUCCGGCGGAGACCCGGCUGCGAUUCAACGCGCUUUGGAUCCGACUAUGAUCACUGUGCCUGAUGUUGAAGGAUCGAAAGAGGACAGAUGCGAGCUUACUAGAACUCCGUAUGGGAGACGAUUCAUAAGUGAGGAGUUGAAUUCAUAUCUUGAAUUUUUGUUUGAACUUAUUCUUGCUCGGGGUCCCGAUAUUGGAUUGAACGUGUCGUUGAGUCGCUAUGAUUUAUUCCAUGGACACCUUUUUCUUGCCAUAGACAGUGGAAGACUUGGUAUAUUGUUCCAUGCCAAAGAAUACCCUGCAUAUGAUAAGGAAGUAUUUCCAUACAACAUGGGAUACUGUCAAGUAGGGUCGAAUGUGACUUAUGAUGAUUCAAUGAACUUGCGAAACAUCCUCUGGCUUGCUCCAUUGCCAAGCGAUUCAACCAAAGCUUGGGCAGCACCAGGUGUCCUUGUAGCGCUGGAUGCCCGUCCAGAUGGAAUCAUAUAUAAGGAUCUCAUACCUGAAUAUGUAAAUAUUGCAAGGACUAUAUACGAAGAUGAUCUUGGGGAAGUUGCAGUUGAUGUGAACUACUUGGAUGUUGGGAAUGCGGGGUCAAAGUUUCAAAUUUUUAUUUGCUGAUGCUCGUUUCAAUGUUCAUACCAUAUCCCUUCCCAUCUCGACUAGUCUAUUACGCAACAAUGCCAAGUAACCAUGUGCAGAUUAUUUAUCAAGGGUGAACCUCAAACGAGAGAGGGGCGAUGUAUGCUGGCCAGGAUGAUUCCUUUGGUGCUUGCAGAAAGUAGGAUCCGGGAAUGCGAAAGAGAUUGCUUUGGUUUAUUCUGGUGGCAGAUUGCAAGGCAAGCAAACCGAAUGCGCGAGGGAUGUGAUCUGCAAAUAAUGUGUAUUACUAUUUAAUAGCUUGUUUAACAAGAAAUUAGGGGGGCCAUGAAUGAAAUCCCUCAAGUAUUUGUUACUAGGUUGAAACUUGGAAUUGAAUGAUAAAUUAGAGUUAUCUGCAUUGUUGAACA